GGUGUGCGGAGGAGUGAUGGCAGCUGCGCACAGUAGGCAGGAGAUGUGACUUUGCGCGUCUGUCCUCUGCCUGCUGGGGUUUACACCCAUUUGGCUUCACGGGCUCAGCAUGUUCUUCUGGGACCAGAGCCUCAGGCUUUCACGAAAGAAGUAGCGAUGCCUGGUGCUGCCAAAGGCUACCGAGGAUGGGAGAACUAGACCAGCAGCCCUGCAGAAUCAAACACAGCUGUCUGAGGAGGAUUCUCUGCUGUCUUGCUCUGAGCAGGCCACACAACUCGGUCCUCAGCUCCAGCAACCCAGGCCCGCAUGCUGGCAGUGCCUCUUAGUGUGGGAAGUACUGAUGUGUAGCAAUAACCAGACUCUCAGCAGAAACUUGACAGGAGCAGAGCUGCAGAAGCAGAGGCCGUGGGGUCAGCGGGAUGCAGGCCCGUCACUCAGCUCCCAGCCGCACCUGCAGAAGAGAGAACAGGCCAGUGAGAUUCUGUGGGACUGUUGCCGGGGAGGGGGGCCUGGGCUCUGGGCACUCACCAGGCCUCAGAGGGGCUGUGUGUCCUCAUGUCCUGCCUGUGUGGGGGCCCUCAGCAGCAGCGGCAGCACAGCAGCCUGCGGGCCUUGCUAUGGCGGAGGGGGAUCCAGAGGGAGGGGGCACUGCUGGCCACUGGACCCUGGCUGCUGGGGGGAACGGCUUCAGGGGAGGGGAGGACAGAGCCAGGGCAGCUGUUCUGAGGGCUGUUGGGAGGCACCAGUGGGUGGGCCUGGCUGGGGAUGGACUCAAAGUCUGGCAGAUGGAAGUGCUGGGUGUUGGGGGCCGCCGGUGCAGGGGCAGGGCGCAGGGUGGACAGGACUGGCAUACUGGAGCUCUUGCAGGGCUUGCCAAGCUCCCAGCCUCUGUGCUCCAGGGCAGGUGGGGAAGACAGACAGGUUCGCCAGGGAAACCGGAGCAAGGGCAGGCUGGGCGGGACCGUGUCCUCAGCGGGCUGGGGUUCCAGGUCUGGUUCUGUUGGCGCGGAGCCCUGGGUCACCCACGGGUGACUUAGGAUCUGUCUCCAGCCCAUUCGCUGCCGAGGGUCUAUCUGUAACAUGCCUUCCAGCAGGCGUCCCAGUAGUGAGGGGAGCGCC